rnacentral:misc_RNA from 1 species
UGGCUCUCGCAUCGAUGAAGAACGCAGCGAAAUGCGAUACGUAAUGUGAAUUGCAGAUUCAGUGAAUCAUCGAAUCUUUGAACGCAUAUUGCACUCUUUGGUAUUCCGGAGAGUAUACCUGUUUCAGCAUCAUAAAAACCUCGAAAUACUUACAAUUUUUUGUGAGUUGCUCGGAAUUGAACUUGUAGGUUUUCUCUAUAAAUCUACUAGUUUAAAAAAUCUCUCAUGUUUUUUGGUUUUCCGGAUCUUGUGAGCAAUCAUAUUUUCUGGUCCUGAAAAGGUGUCAUUAGUUGGCCUUUUGGUCAUCUUUCACCGAACUCAGGAAUCCUUAAUUCAUACAAAAAAUUAAAUUUUUAAACUUGAUCUGAAAUCAGGCAAGAUUACCCGCUGA